AGAGAAAGAGAAAGAAGAGAAAGAAGAGAGAGAAGAGAAGGUUGUUUUUCAUUUUGGGGUUUCUGUUCCUUAUCGGAAAUUCGAUUUAAUUCCUCUUCCUUCUUC
rnacentral:ribozyme from 13 species